AGUGUGGGCGCCGGAGGACGGGUAUUGUUGAUGUCAAUAUUAGAGUAAAUAACUUCCACAUUG
rnacentral:tRNA from 1 species